AAAACAUGUCCUUUAGAAUUUAAUUUAAGGUCUAGCCUGCCCACUGAUUUAAAUGGCCGCAGUAUUUUAACUGUGCAAAGGUAGCAUAAUCAUUAGUCUUUUAAUUGAAGGCUUGUAUGAAUGGUUGGACGAAAUAUUAACUGUUUCAUAAAAAUUUAUUUAGAAUUUUAUUUUUUAGUCAAAAAGCUAAAAUUUUUUUAAAAGACGAGAAGACCCUAUAGAUCUUUAUAAUUUAUUUAUUAUAGUUAUAUAGAUUAUUUAAAUUAUGAUUUUAUGAAUUAUUUUGUUGGGGUGACAUUAAAAUUUAAUAAACUUUUAAUAAAUUUUUACAUUAAUUUAUGAAUAAUUGAUCCAUUAUUAGUGAUUAUAAAAUUAAGUUACCUUAGGGAUAACAGCGUAAUUUUUUUGAAGAGUUCAUAUCGAUAAAAAAGAUUGCGACCUCGAUGUUGGAUUAAGAUAUAAUUUUGGGUGCAGCAAUUCAAUAAUUAAGUCUGUUCGACUUUUAAUUUCUUACAUGA
rnacentral:rRNA from 1 species